CUACGGGACGCAGCAGCAGGGAAUAUUGCACAAUGGACGGAAGUCUGAUGCAGCGACGCCGCGUGGAUGAUGAAGGCCCUCGGGUUGUAAAAUCCUUUUCAGGGGGACGAGGAAGGACGGUACCCUUGGAAUAAGCGUCGGCUAACUACGUGCCAGCAGCCGCGGUAAGACGUAGGACGCAAGCAGUUAUCCGGAUUUACUGGGCGUAAAGCGUCUGUAGGCGGAAUGGUAAGUUGGACGUGAAAGCUCCGGGCUCAACCCGGAGAGGUCGUUCAAUACUGCCAAACUAGAGGGCAUCAGAGGAGCGUGGAAUUUCCGGUGUAGCGGUAAAAUGCGCAGAUAUCGGAAGGAACACCAAUGGCGAAGGCAGCGCUCUGGGAUGAACCUGACGCUAAGAGACGAAAGCUAGGGGAGCGAACAGGAUUAGAUACCCUCGUAGUC
rnacentral:rRNA from 1 species